rnacentral:rRNA from 1 species
CACGUAGGGCGCAAGCGUUGUCCGGAAUUAUUGGGCGUAAAGAGCUCGUAGGCGGCUUGUCGCGUCGACUGUGAAAACCCGCGGCUCAACUGCGGGCCUGCAGUCGAUACGGGCAGGCUAGAGUUCGGUAGGGGAGACUGGAAUUCCUGGUGUAGCGGUGAAAUGCGCAGAUAUCAGGCGGAACACCCGUGGCGAAGGCGGCCAGCUGGGCCGUCCCUGACGCUGAGGCGCGAAGGCGUGGGGAGCGAACGGG